rnacentral:ncRNA from 1 species
ACUGGCUGGUGGUGUCCAUGUGUGCACAGCGACGCCACCUUUUGAUCCUGCGGUGUCACCUCUUGCUGUCAUUUGGAAAGAGGACUCUCCAACUGGUGGAGCUGUUCACUCACUAAUAUGGAACGUGAGCGCGGCUGACGGCGGUCUUAACCA